UCUUUUGCUAACCUCAACCCUUUCAAAUAUGUUUCUUCAGGACUGAAGACUCUAUCUUCGAAAAUUAGAGAGUUUCGAGCUAUCCAAAUCGCCCAGCAUAUCCAAGGGAGUAGGUUUAGGGCGUAGCCCGUCGGAGGAGGGCAUGUGGCUGAUCUGAACUUAACAAUGGCGUCUUUGAAGGAGGCAUCUGCAGCUAUGUGAACUGCGUUUCGUAGUGGUUUGUUCCAAGAGGGAGGGCAUUUUGCACUAUCGACCACAGGAAGGCCUUCAUUUUAGGAGAUGGAGGCCGUGUAGUACCCUGAUUUUGUGGAGUAUACUCCCGAGGAGGUAGCAUGCCAAAUAUAAGAGUCCUCUGCCCCCUUCAGGCUUGGUUGCAGGCUAAGAA